rnacentral:rRNA from 1 species
AACGCAGCGAAGGGCGAUAAGUAAUGUGAAUUGCAGAAUUCAGUGAAUCAUCGAAUCUUUGAACGCACAUUGCGCUCCCUGGUAUUCCGGGGAGCAUGCCCGUUUCAGAAUCAUUAAAAUCUCACUCCCCAGAUUCGUGUAAAUGGAUUUGGAAGUGGAUUUGGAUGAAUUUGCGACCCGCAAUCAUCUUAAAAUGAUUGUAUGUGCACCAGCUGGUUUGCCAAUUGGUCUCCAAAGUGCAACAGAUUUUUCUAUUACGCUGAGGUGACUGAUUGGAUUCCGUGGAGCGCAUGCUCAAAGUUUUCAACAGGCAUCGCAUCUUAGGGUGCAAUGUCUGACAACUUGGUCUGAAAUCGGGCAAGAAAACCCGCUGAACUUAA